ACGGAAGGCAGCAGUGGGGAAUAUUGCACAAUGGGCGCAAGCCUGAUGCAGCAACGCCGCGUGAGGGAUGACGGUUUUCGGAUUGUAAACCUCUGUCUUUGGUGACGAAGAAGUGACGGUAGCCAAGGAGGAAGCCACGGCUAACUACGUGCCAGCAGCCGCGGUAAUACGUAGGUGGCAAGCGUUAUCCGGAAUUACUGGGUGUAAAGGGAGCGCAGGCGGGACAGCAAGUCAGCGGUGAAAUGUAUGGGCUCAACCCAUGAUCUGCCGUUGAAACUGUUGUUCUUGAAUGGAGUAGAGGUAGGCGGAAUUCCGAGUGUAGCGGUGAAAUGCGUAGAUAUUCGGAGGAACACCAGUGGCGAAGGCGGCCUACUGGGCUCUAACUGACGCUGAGGCUCGAAAGUGUGGGGAGCAAACAGGAUUAGAUACCCUGGUA
rnacentral:rRNA from 1 species